rnacentral:rRNA from 1 species
UGACUCUGGGAUAAGCGCUGGAAACGGCGUCUAAUACUGGAUAUGUGACGUGACCGCAUGGUCUGCGUCUGGAAAGAAUUUCGGUUGGGGAUGGGCUCGCGGCCUAUCAGCUUGUUGGUGAGGUAAUGGCUCACCAAGGCGUCGACGGGUAGCCGGCCUGAGAGGGUGACCGGCCACACUGGGACUGAGACACGGCCCAGACUCCUACGGGAGGCAGCAGUGGGGAAUAUUGCACAAUGGGCGCAAGCCUGAUGCAGCAACGCCGCGUGAGGGAUGACGGCCUUCGGGUUGUAAACCUCUUUUAGCAGGGAAGAAGCGAAAGUGACGGUACCUGCAGAAAAAGCGCCGGCUAACUACGUGCCAGCAGCCGCGGUAAUACGUAGGGCGCAAGCGUUAUCCGGAAUUAUUGGGCGUAAAGAGCUCGUAGGCGGUUUGUCGCGUCUGCUGUGAAAUCCCGAGGCUCAACCUCGGGC